rnacentral:rRNA from 1 species
UACGUAGGGACCAAGCGUUGUUCGGAUUUACUGGGCGUAAAGGGCGCGUAGGCGGCAAUUCAAGUCAUCUGUGAAAUCUCCGGGCUUAACCCGGAACGGUCAGGUGAUACUGUUUUGCUAGAGUGCGGAAGGGGCAAUCGGAAUUCUCGGUGUAGCGGUGAAAUGCGUAGAUAUCAGGAAGAACACCCGUGGCUAAGGCGGCUCUCUAGUACGGUACUGACGCUGAGACGCGAAAGCGUGGGGAGCAAACAGG